AUUUGUAGGUAAUUAUAGUUGGAGAAGAGGGUGUGCUUUCUCAGAAGAUACACUUUCAAUUUUAUGCAAGGCAAGGUUUGCCCUGGUUUUCAACUUUAAUGGAAACACAAAAUAAAUGUAUGGAUGCAAGCAGUAGUGCUAGUUCCCCAAAGUCUGUUCAGAUGGUGUGGACAGAAUGUGUGCUACAUUUCCUCUUAAAGUAAGUACAUCCAUUGUGGAGGAUGAAGGG